GAAUUUAGGACAAUGGGGGCAACCCUGAUCCAGCCAUCCCACGUGUGCGAUGAAGGCCUUCGGGUUGUAAAGCACUUUUGGCAGGGAAGAAACGGCUCUGGCUAAUACCUGGAGCUGCUGACGGGCCCUGCUGAAUCAGCACCGGCUAAACACGAUCCAGCAGCCGCGGUAAUACGUAGGGUGCAAGCGUUAAUCGGAAUUACUGGGCGUAAGGCGUGCGCAGGCGGUUCGGCAAGAAGGAUGUGAAAUCCCAGGGCUUAACCUUGGAACUGCAUUCUUAACUGCCGGGCUAGAGUAUGUCAGAGGGGGGUAGAAUUCCGCGUGUAGCAGUGAAAUGCAUAGAGAUGCGGAGGAAUACCGAUGGCGAAGGCAGCCCCCUGGGAUAAUACUGACGCUCAUGCACGAAAGCGUGGGGAGCAAAC
rnacentral:rRNA from 1 species